rnacentral:tRNA from 1 species
UGCAUCGGCCGGGAAUCGAACCCAGGCCACCCGCGUGGCAGGCAAGCAUUCUACCACUGAACCACCGAUGC